UACAGAGGUCCCGAGCGUUGUUCGGAUUCAUUGGGCGUAAAGGGUGCGUAGGCGGCGAGCUAAGUUUGGUGUGAAAUCCUGGGGCUUAACCUCAGAAUUGCACUGAAUACCGGUUUGCUAGAGGACUGGAGAGGAGAUUGGAAUUCACGGUGGAGCGGUGAAAUGCGUAGAUAUCGGAAGGAACGCCGGUGGCGAAAGCGAGCUGCUGGAUCCCUCCUGACGCUGAGGCGCGAAAGCCAGGGGAGCGAACGGG
rnacentral:rRNA from 1 species